CACAGUAAUGAAAUGGUAGUCGGACGGCCUUCGGGGGCGCCGUCGAUGUGAUCGGUCACAGGAAGAUGCGGCCGUCUGGCCUCAAAGGCUGUUGCUCAUACUUACCUGGCAGGGGAGAUACCAUGAUCAUGAAGGUGGUUCACCCAGGGCGAGGCUCAGCCAUUGCACUCCGGUUGUGCUGACCCUUUGCGAAUUCCCCAAAUGUGGGAAUCUCGACUGCAAAAUUUCUGAUAGUGGGGGACUGCGUUCGCGCUCUCCCCUGGCCUUUGUGUUAAAAAUAGAUUCGUUUGUCUGUUUACGGAAAAUCCAAGAGACGUCUAACCACGGCACAAGAACGCAUUGGUCAUCAAAAAGCGGCUAUUAAACGACUACAUAACUUCUAAUAGACCGCGAAUAUGUGUCUAGGCUAAAACAAGGCUUAAUUUGGGCUGUCAGUGAAAAUCUAAUAGACGUUUGACCGUUCCCCAAGUAUAGACUGGCCAUUAAAUAGAACCACAAUCAAACAGCUACAUGUCUAAGAGACAUUCAACAAAAUAAUGCUUAGAUGAUUCUUUUACUUACAAUGUAAGCGGUUCUCAGGAAUGGCAAUCAUCCAAACUAAUAAAUUAUAAAGCUUUUAAAAGAAAAUGACAACCGUUAAACAACCUAGACAACGUUGGGCAGUACAAAAUGCUUAGAAAUACAAGACAAAACGAAAUAUUGUACAUGAAUGUACAUUAAAACAAGCCAACAAAUCUGCCAAUGGGCUAAGACAAAUUUUCUUGAAUUAGGUGUUUAAAUCUAGAUUUGUUUCUAACCCCUUUGGCAGAUUUAUUUGCUUGUUUUAAGCCCAAAUUCACUUAAAUUUUAUGUUUUGUCUCCCGAAAGGCUAGGCUUAUUUUCUUAUGUCAUUUUGCUCAUCAAAAUAAUGCAUCUUAUUUUAAGACUUUUUAGAUAUUUGCAUAGUUAAAAAUUAUUUUUUGUGAAAUGUAUUCAUUCAUUCGCUACCCUUCAUACUACAGCUGUCGAAAAACCACAGCAACGUCGACAGACCUGGAAGCAAAGCUGUAUUUGUUUAACUUGCAAAGACAACGGGUAAAGUAUUUUCUUGAUUACCUAAAUGACUUGCAGUAAGAAAAUAUUUCAAUUUAUAAUAAUGAUAAUUCUGUCAUCAUUUACUCAUCCUCCUGUUGUUUUAAACCUGUAUGCGUUCGUUUUUUCUGAUUAACACAAAAGAAGAUAUUUUGAGGAAUGAUGGUAAACCCACAGCAGAUAGUGACCAUUGACUUCCAUAGUAGGAAUAAAAAAAUAUGAUGAAAUUUAAUAGGUACCAUCAACUGUGUGCUAACCAUCAUUUUUCAAAAUAUUUUCUUCAUCAUUUAUCACGAUACUUCCAAAAUAUUUUUUUCCUACUAUGGAAGUCAAUGAUAAUGUAUUUCAUUAUUUGCUUUACAAGCCUGAAAAUGAUAGGUUGGAAUCCAGGUGACAGGAUUCUAUGGUAGUCAAAAACAGGUAAACAAGUAAAAUAAUCACCAUUUACUUUUAAAGCAUUUUGAAAAUUGCUUGCUUAUGCUGGAAGUAAAGGUAUUUAAUGCAGUGCGCAUCGUGUUUAAAAGGUAAUGUAUGAUUCUUUUAAAGCUGACACAUUUGCCACAUUAAAAUAACAGAAAUGUACUGUUUCAACAUUUUGGAGCCGGUGUGUCUGUGUUCUUGGGGCACAUCUAAAUGUAAGAGCAGAAUUGCUUAUUAUUCUUCUCUAUUUCUUGUAUAGGUCAAUUAUGAGUGAAGAACCGUUCACCAAAUGAAGACCACAGCCAGGUGACGGGAUUGUGUGGUAAUCACAAACAGGUUGAAAAUUGAAGUUCUGUGUGUUCUUUUUGUACUUUAUUUAUUUCUGCAGGUAAGCACCAUACCGUAAGCUUCAUUCCCUUUAUAACAGGUAAGGUUCAUACUGUUUUAUUCUUUUAUACUGUUUUAUUUUAAAUCAUUCAGUAAAUGCAAAGUUAAACCGAUGGUGUUUUUAAUCUAGAUUUAAAAGUGCCUACUGUUGAAACACAUCUGAUCUCAUCUGAAAGCUGAUUCCAGCUAUACAGGUUUAAAAGUGCCCACUGUUGAAACACAUCUGAUCUCAUUUGAAAGCUGAUUCCAGCUACAGAUCUAAAAGUGUCUUCUGUUGAAACACAUCUGAUCUCUUCUGAAAGCUGAUUCCAGCUACAGAUUUAAAAGUGCCUACUGUUGAAACACAUCUGAUCUCAUCUGAAAGCUGAUUCCAGCUACAG